rnacentral:rRNA from 1 species
UCCUCAGGCCUUACCACCUGUGCAUUGCUGAGUGUAGGCUGUCUAUCAUGUGCAAGACUUUUAUGGAAGCUAAGCAGGGUCGGGGCUGGUUAGUACUUGGAUGGGAGACCACCUAGGAAGACCAGGUGCUGUAGGCC